AACGAACGCUGGCGGUAUGCCUAACACAUGCAAGUCGAACGGUAACAGGGACUUCGGUCCGCUGACGAGUGGCGAACGGGUGCGUAACACGUGGAUGACCUGUCUCGAGGCGGGGGAUAACGACUGGAAACAGUUGCUAAUACCGCAUGAGCUCUACGGAGGAAAGGCUUCGGCCACCUUGAGAGGGGUCCGCGUCGGAUUAGCAUGUUGGUGAGGUAAUGGCUCACCAAGGCUACGACCCGUAGCUGGUCUGAGAGGAUGAUCAGCCACACUGGGACUGAGACACGGCCCAG
rnacentral:rRNA from 1 species